rnacentral:rRNA from 1 species
CGACUCCUACGGGGCGCAGCAGUAGGGAAUCUUCCACAAUGGACGAAAGUCUGAUGGAGCAACGCCGCGUGAGUGAAGAAGGGUUUCGGCUCGUAAAGCUCUGUUGGUAGUGAAGAAAGAUAGAGGGAGUAACUGGCCUUUAUUUGACGGUAAUUAAUUAGAAAGUUACGGCUAACUACGUGCUAGCAGCCGCGGUAAUACGUAGGUGGCAAGCGUUGUCCGGAUUUAUUGGGCGUAAA